rnacentral:rRNA from 1 species
AUACGGAGGGGGCUAGCGUUGUUCGGAAUCACUGGGCGUAAAGCGCUCGUAGGCGGACCAGUCAGUCAGAGGUGAAAUCCCAAGGCUCAACCUUGGAACUGCCUUUGAUACUGCUGGUCUUGAGGUCGAGAGAGGUAAGUGGAAUUCCUAGUGUAGAGGUGAAAUUCGUAGAUAUUAGGAAGAACACCAGUGGCGAAGGCGGCUUACUGGCUCGAUUCUGACGCUGAGGAGCGAAAGCGUGGGGAGCAAACAGGAUUAGAUACCCCAGUAGUCC